CAGUCGCCGCGGGAAUACGUAGGUGGCAAGCGUUGUCCGGAAUUAUUGGGCGUAAAGGGCUCGCAGGCGGUUUCUUAAGUCUGAUGUGAAAGCCCCCGGCUCAACCGGGGAGGGUCAUUGGAAACUGGGAAACUUGAGUGCAGAAGAGGAGAGUGGAAUUCCACGUGUAGCGGUGAAAUGCGUAUAGAUGUGGAGGAACACCAGUGGCGAAGGCGACUCUCUGGUCUGUAACUGACGCUGAGGAGCGAAAGCGUGGGGAGCGAACAGGGUUAGAUACCCCAGUAGUCCCUGUCUCUUAUAC
rnacentral:rRNA from 1 species